GGGCACUUGUUGGGACGAGCACUGGGUGUUGUAGGUAGGGGAUGAAUCCCUGGAAUCUACUCCUGAAGUCAUGAUUGCACUAGAUGCUAACUAACUUGGAUGGAAAUUACAAAGUACAAAUAGUCAUUUCCUCUUUCCCGACGUACAACCACAUCAUCACAUUAUAGUGCGAUUUUGGCUUAUAUUGUUUACGUCUCCAGGGUCCGAGAGGUCCUGGGGAUGGUCCUUGCCCCUGAGAGUCACUUGCCUACAGGAGCGAUCGCAGGACCUCGGAUGCUAGCCAUCGGCACUGACCCAGGACAGUGGCACAUCCCCCCCCCCACCUGGGAGCCUGGCCUACUGCGGAUCCCGAGCAUGGAGCAGUCACGACCCGGGCGAUUACUGAUGUCUUUGUUUUACAGCCCUUGGCUUCCUGACGUUAUUUUUAAUAGCUCUGCCACAAUCAUGUAAUAGCGUCAUGUAUGAGGUCAUUGGGGUCCAGGACACCAGAGGGGUUGGGCAGAGACUUGAAAGAGCCGCGUGAGGCAGCACAUCCCCGGGGGGGCCCACUGAGGGCCGCGUCGUGGAGCUCAGAUCGCAUGGCGGAGAAACGGAAACGCAUCAUCUGGUCGCUGCAGCAGGAGAAGACAACGGUGUUGGGAUCGACAUGUCCUGACGGCGUUUGCAUUUGACCAGCGGGAUGGCAGAACGUGAGCUCAUGUCUGCAGAGGAGGGUCGGUUUGUCAAAGGGAAGGAAGCGGUUGAUAUACUCAGGGGGUGACAGCCUCCUUUUCGCCCCUCCCCCUCUUUGUGACAGCGGGGAGGGUCAUAGUGAUGUCACACUUGGUCUUCGUUUUCAGCCCAAGACACCACAGCUUCUCCACUAAUGCUCAAAACACCAGAGAGCAGGUGUCAGAGGGCCGGAGAAAUCUUUAAAAUGCUGAGAAGGGAACACGUUGAGAGAGAAAGAGAGCAGCUGGGUGCUGGGUCCAUCUGUCUGGUUCGUCUGGGAUCCGUGCGUGCGUUGGGCCCCAGCAGGAAGCUGAACCCCCUCGUUUGGGCCCCUGCAGAUGUUUUGGGGACUGUCGCUGACUACGCUGAUUACGUGACACAGGAUUUCCUUCCUGAGCGCCUGUGGACGAAGGCGUUCUCUGGUCUCAACAAGGAAGAGCUUCGUCAGUCUCCCAAGAGCACGCCGUGCGUCCUGGGCUCGAACCCGCUUCCCUCUGCCCUGGAACCUUCCACUCUCGGUUCAGGCGUUUUCUGGAAUUGUUGAGACACUUGAUAUCCUCUUUGGAAACAGUGGCACGUGAAUAAACAGUUAAAAACUC